GUGGAAUUGUGAGCGGAUAACAAUUUCACACAGGAAACAGCUAUGACCAUGAUUACGCCAAGCUCAGAAUUAACCCUCACUAAAGGGACUAGUCCUGCAGGUUUAAACGAAUUCGCCCUUUUCCGGUUGAUCCCGCCGGAGGCCACUGCUAUGGGGGCCCGACUAAGCCAUGCGAGUCAAGGGGGCGUCCCUUCUGGGACGCCACCGGCGGACGGCUCAGUAACACGUCGGUAACCUACCCUCGGGAGGGGGAUAACCCCGGGAAACUGGGGCUAAUCCCCCAUAGGCCUGGGGUACUGGAAGGUCCCCAGGCCGAAAGGGAGCCGUAAGGCUCCGCCCGAGGAUGGGCCGGCGGCCGAUUAGGUAGUUGGUGGGGUAACGGCCCACCAAGCCGAAGAUCGGUACGGGCCGUGAGAGCGGGAGCCCGGAGAUGGACACUGAGACACGGGUCCAGGCCCUACGGGGCGCAGCAGGCGCGAAACCUCCGCAAUGCGGGAAACCGCGACGGGGGGACCCCCAGUGCCGUGCCUCUGGCACGGCUUUUCCGGAGUGUAAAAAGCUCCGGGAAUAAGGGCUGGGCAAGGCCGGUGCCAGCCGCCGCGGUAAAGGGCGAUU
rnacentral:rRNA from 1 species